UACAGAGGUGGCAAGCGUUGUUCGGAAUUACUGGGCGUAAAGGGCGCGUAGGCGGCCUGCUAAGUCGAACGUGAAAUCCCCGGGCUCAACCCGGGAACUGCGUCCGAUACUGGCAGGCUUGAAUCCGGGAGAGGGAUGCGGAAUUCCAGGUGUAGCGGUGAAAUGCGUAGAUAUCUGGAGGAACACCGGUGGCGAAGGCGGCAUCCUGGACCGGCAUUGACGCUGAGGCGCGAAAGCCAGGGGAGCAAACGGG
rnacentral:rRNA from 1 species